CUCUCUAUCCCGUGGCUCUCUCUCUCCUCCAUCCCGACUCUCUCUCUACACACACCCAUACGUACGGACACACCCAAAAAUCUUCCAAACUCGACGGAUCGAGGCAACCAAGGUAUGCAUCUUCAUCAUUGAGUCAUUUUAAGUCGAUUGGUACUAGUUUUAGGAAGUGAAACCCUCGAAAUCACGUGAAACCCGAACCUAUAUUUUUCGUCACUGUUCAUGCACUCGUAAUAUGUUGUGUUUCAGGGAAUUCUAAGCUUAUAGUGAGCUUAGUGAGGUCCCAAGGAAGCUCGGAGUGCUUCGUUGGAAGGAUUUGGACGUCGGGAUCACGAGGGUUAAGUUUGGCCGAUUUUGUUUGGAUUUUUCCGGUGAGAUUUCUUGAUUUUUAGAGCCUUAAACUAGUCUAUUGUGAUUCUACAUGUUGAGGGCUUUAAAUUGAUAUAUUAUACGAAGAAAAUGGUUGAGAAACGAAGGAGAACGAAGCAUUUGAAAAUUCCCCAGUUUUCCGGCCGCCGGAAAAACCAGUCCGGCGAACCAAGGUUGGGG
rnacentral:lncRNA from 1 species